UACAGAGGUCUCAAGCGUUGUUCGGAUUCAGUUGGGCGUAAAGGGUGCGUAGGUGGCGCGCUAAGUCAGGUGUGAAAUUUCGGAGCUUAACUCCGAAACUGCAUUUGAUACUGGCGUGCUUGAGGACUGGAGAGGAGACUGGAAUUACGGUGUAGCGGUGAAAUGCGUAGAGAUCGGGAGGAAUACCAGUGGCGAAGGCGGCCUUCUGGA
rnacentral:rRNA from 1 species